CCACACACGAAGAAUUGGUAAGUACAAAAGCACGUUUUUUCAACAGAGAGCUUCGGUAGCUGAAAAGAAGCAUCAAACGACUUUUAGAAAAUGGCCAAGGAGUGAUUCGUUCCGAGCAGUAGUUUGCAAGGCGACGACGGUAGCGACCGUUAUCUGGCUAGAGUAUGAUCGUACUCGAAAAGGAGCUGUAUGCGAGUGCAGCUUAAACUGAGGUGGUAACACGCAAAAAGGCGUCCUCAAA
rfam:Enterococcus casseliflavus EC20, complete genome.